rnacentral:lncRNA from 1 species
AGACUGAGCCCAGUCUGGGUGCAGUAGUGCCAUCUUGGCUCACUGCAACCUCUGCCUCCAGGGUUCAAGCAAUUCUCCUGCCUCAGCCUCCUGAGCAGCUGGGAUUACAGGCAUCCACCCCCAUGCCUAGCUAAUUUUUAUAUUUUUAGUAGAGACAGGGUUUCACCAUGUUGGCCGGGCUGGUCUUGAACUCCUGACCGCAAGUGAUCUACUGGCCUUGGCCUCCCAAAGUGCUGGGAUUACAGGCGUGAGCCACUGUGCCUGGCCUUCCAUUGCAACUUAUUUAUUUAUUUAAUUUUUUUUUGUUGUUAUGUUUUUGAGACAUGGUCUUACUCUGUCACCCAGGCUGGUGUGCAGUGGUGCAGUCUCAGCUCACGGCAACCUCCACCUCCCAGGUUCAAGAAAUUCUCCUGCCUCAGCCUCCUGAGUAGCUGGGAUUACAGGCACCUGCAGCCACACCCGGCUAAUUUUUAUAUUUUUAGUAGAGACGGGGUUUCACCAUGUUGGCCAGGCUGGUCUCAAACUCCUGACUUUGUGUGAUCCGCCCAUCUUGGCCUCCCAAAGUGUUGGGAUGACAGGCGUGAGCCACCGCACCCAGCCGGAAUUUAAAAUAAGAAUGAUGGUACUAUAUAGAUAAUGCUGAGUCCUCUCCAGUUCAGUGUGGGGGUAUUUGUGUUUAAUAAACCUAGGUUCACCACAAUAAACAUGUUCCUCUGCCUAGCAGUUAAGAAGAUCUAUAAGCAGUCAAAAACUAGUGAAGAGGUUUUGUUUUGUUUUGAGACGGAGUCUCACUCUGUCGCCCAGGCUGGAGUGCAGUGGCGCGAUCUCUGCUCACUGCAAGCUCCGCCUCCCGGGUUCACGCCAUUCUCCUGCCUUAGCCUCCCAAGUAGCUGGGACUACAGGCACCUGCCACCACGCCC